rnacentral:rRNA from 1 species
UACGUAGGGGGCAAGCGUUGUCCGGAAUCAUUGGGCGUAAAGCGCGUGUAGGCGGCUCGGUAAGUCUGCUGUGAAAGUCCAGGGCUCAACCCUGGGAUGCCGGUGGAUACUGUCGAGCUCGAGUCCGGAAGAGGCGAGUGGAAUUCCUGGUGUAGCGGUGAAAUGCGUAGAGAUCGGGAGGAACACCAGUGGCGAAGGCGGCUUGCUGGGCCGGACCUGACGCUGAGACGCGAAGGCGUGGGGAGCGAACGGG